rnacentral:rRNA from 1 species
UACGUAGGGUGCGAGCGUUGUCCGGAAUUAUUGGGCGUAAAGAGCGUGUAGGCGGCCAGAAAAGUCCGCUGUGAAAACUCGAGGCUCAACUUCGAGCUGUCGGUGGAAACUUUCUGGCUAGAGUCCGGAAGAGGAGAAUGGAAUUCCUGGUGUAGCGGUGAAAUGCGCAGAUAUCAGGAAGAACACCCGUGGCGAAGGCGGUUCUCUGGGACGGUACUGACGCUGAGACGCGAAAGCGUGGGGAGCGAACAGG